UUUGAAGCUUGUCUUGUUGCCCAGUGUGAUGCCCUCAUUGAAGCUUUGAACAGAAGGAAGGGACAGCUGCUUUCACGGGUGACUAAAGAACAUGAACAUAAACUUAAGGUGGUCAGAGAUCAAAUCAGCCAUUGCACAGUUAAACUGCGCCAAACAACUGGCCUGAUGGAAUACUGUUUGGAGGUAAUUAAGGAGAAUGACCCCAGUGGCUUUUUACAGAUAUCAGAUGCUUUAAUAAGGCGUGUACAUUUUAUUGAUGAACAGUGGGGAAAAGGAAUACUUCAACCUCGCAUGAAUACUGAUUUUGAUUUAACACUCGAUAAUGCAUCACUGCUACAAACUAUUCUUCA